rnacentral:rRNA from 1 species
GACGAACGCUGGCGGCGUGCCUAAUACAUGCAAGUCGAACGCUUCUUUCCUCCCGAGUGCUUGCACUCAAUUGGAAAGAGGGGUGGCGGACGGGUGAGUAACACGUGGGUAACCUACCCAUCAGAGGGGGAUAACACUUGGAAACAGGUGCUAAUACCGCAUAACAGUUUAUGCCGCAUGGCAUAAGAGUGAAAGGCGCUUUCGGGUGUCGCUGAUGGCUGGAACCGCGGUGCAUUAGCUAGUUGGUGAGGUAACGGCUCACCAAGGCCACGAUGCAUAGCCGACCUGAGAGGGUGAUCGGCCACACUGGGACUGAGACACGGCCCAGACUCCUACGGGAGGCAGCAGUAGGGAAUCUUCGGCAAUGGACGAAAGUCUGACCGAGCAACGCCGCGUGAGUGAAGAAGGUUUUCGGAUCGUAAAACUCUGUUGUUAGAGAAGAACAAGGACGUUAGUAACUGAACGUCCCCUGACGGUAUCUAACCAGAAAGCCACGGCUAACUACGUG